rnacentral:rRNA from 1 species
GAUGAACGCUGGCGGCGUGCCUAAUACAUGCAAGUCGAGCGAACGGACGAGAAGCUUGCUUCUCUGAUGUUAGCGGCGGACGGGUGUGUAACACGUGGAUAACCUACCUAUAAGACUGGGAUAACUUCGGGAAACCGGAGCUAAUACCGGAUAAUACUUUGAACCGCAUGGUUCAAAAGUGAAAGACGGUCUUGCUGUCACUUAUAGAUGGAUCCGCGCUGCAUUAGCUAGUUGGUAAGGUAACGGCUUACCAAGGCAACGAUGCAUAGCCGACCUGAGAGGGUGAUCGGCCACACUGGAACUGAGACACGGUCCAGACUCCUACGGGAGGCAGCAGUAGGGAAUCUUCCGCAAUGGGCGAAAGCCUGACGGAGCAACGCCGCGUGAGUGAUGAAGGUCUUCGGAUCGUAAAACUCUGUUAUUAGGGAAGAACAUAUGUGUAAGUAACUGUGCACAUCUUGACGGUACCUAAUCAGAAGGCCACGGCUAACUACGUG